GGUUAAGCGACUAAGCGUACACGGUGGAUGCCCUGGCAGUCAGAGGCGAUGAAGGACGUGCUAAUCUGCGAUAAGCGCCGGUAAGGUGAUAUGAACCGUUAUAACCGGCGAUUUCCGAAUGGGGAAACCCAGUGUGACUCGUCACACUAUCAUUAACUGAAUCCAUAGGUUAAUGAGGCGAACCGGGGGAACUGAAACAUCUAAGUACCCCGAGGAAAAGAAAUCAACCGAGAUUCCCCCAGUAGCGGCGAGCGAACGGGGAGGAGCCCAGAGCCUGAAUCAGCAUGUGUGUUAGUGGAAGCGUCUGGAAAGGCGCGCGAUACAGGGUGACAGCCCCGUACACAAAAGCGCAUGUGCUGUGAGCUCGAUGAGUAGGGCGGGACACGUGGUAUCCUGUCUGAAUAUGGGGGGACCAUCCUCCAAGGCUAAAUACUCCUGACUGACCGAUAGUGAACCAGUACCGUGAGGGAAAGGCGAAAAGAACCCCGGCGAGGGGAGUGAAAAAGAACCUGAAACCGUGUACGUACAAGCAGUGGGAGCACCCUUUGGGGUGUGACUGCGUACCUUUUGUAUAAUGGGUCAGCGACUUAUAUUCUGUAGCAAGGUUAACCGAAUAGGGGAGCCGGAGGGAAACCGAGUCUUAAUUGGGCGUUAAGUUGCAGGGUAUAGACCCGAAACCCGGUGAUCUAGCCAUGGGCAGGUUGAAGGUUGGGUAACACUAACUGGAGGACCGAACCGACUAAUGUUGAAAAAUUAGCGGAUGACCUGUGGCUGGGGGUGAAAGGCCAAUCAAACCGGGAGAUAGCUGGUUCUCCCCGAAAGCUAUUUAGGUAGCGCCUCGUGAAUUCAUCUCCGGGGGUAGAGCACUGUUUCGGCUAGGGGGCCAUCCCGGCUUACCAACCCGAUGCAAACUGCGAAUACCGGAGAAUGUUAUCACGGGAGACACACGGCGGGUGCUAACGUCCGUCGUGAAGAGGGAAACAACCCAGACCGCCAGCUAAGGUCCCAAAGUCAUGGUUAAGUGGGAAACGAUGUGGGAAGGCCCAGACAGCCAGGAUGUUGGCUUAGAAGCAGCCAUCAUUUAAAGAAAGCGUAAUAGCUCACUGGUCGAGUCGGCCUGCGCGGAAGAUGUAACGGGGCUAAACCAUGCACCGAAGCUGCGGCAGCGACACUAUGUGUUGUUGGGUAGGGGAGCGUUCUGUAAGCCUGCGAAGGUGGCCUGUGAGGGUUGCUGGAGGUAUCAGAAGUGCGAAUGCUGACAUAAGUAACGAUAAAGCGGGUGAAAAGCCCGCUCGCCGGAAGACCAAGGGUUCCUGUCCAACGUUAAUCGGGGCAGGGUGAGUCGACCCCUAAGGCGAGGCCGAAAGGCGUAGUCGAUGGGAAACGGGUUAAUAUUCCCGUACUUGGUGUUACUGCGAAGGGGGGACGGAGAAGGCUAUGUUGGCCGGGCGACGGUUGUCCCGGUUUAAGCGUGUAGGUGUGUGUUCCAGGUAAAUCCGGUUCACUUUAACACUGAGGCGUGAUGACGAGGCACUACGGUGCUGAAGCAACAAAUGCCCUGCUUCCAGGAAAAGCCUCUAAGCAUCAGGUAACAUCAAAUCGUACCCCAAACCGACACAGGUGGUCAGGUAGAGAAUACCAAGGCGCUUGAGAGAACUCGGGUGAAGGAACUAGGCAAAAUGGUGCCGUAACUUCGGGAGAAGGCACGCUGACACGUAGGUGAAGUGAUUUACUCAUGGAGCUGAAGUCAGUCGAAGAUACCAGCUGGCUGCAACUGUUUAUUAAAAACACAGCACUGUGCAAACACGAAAGUGGACGUAUACGGUGUGACGCCUGCCCGGUGCCGGAAGGUUAAUUGAUGGGGUCAGCGCAAGCGAAGCUCCUGAUCGAAGCCCCGGUAAACGGCGGCCGUAACUAUAACGGUCCUAAGGUAGCGAAAUUCCUUGUCGGGUAAGUUCCGACCUGCACGAAUGGCGUAAUGAUGGCCAGGCUGUCUCCACCCGAGACUCAGUGAAAUUGAACUCGCUGUGAAGAUGCAGUGUACCCGCGGCAAGACGGAAAGACCCCGUGAACCUUUACUAUAGCUUGACACUGAACAUUGAGCCUUGAUGUGUAGGAUAGGUGGGAGGCUUUGAAGUGUGGACGCCAGUCUGCAUGGAGCCGGCCUUGAAAUACCACCCUUUAAUGUUUGAUGUUCUAACGUGGACCCGUGAUCCGGGUUGCGGACAGUGUCUGGUGGGUAGUUUGACUGGGGCGGUCUCCUCCUAAAGAGUAACGGAGGAGCACGAAGGUUGGCUAAUCCUGGUCGGACAUCAGGAGGUUAGUGCAAUGGCAUAAGCCAGCUUGACUGCGAGCGUGACGGCGCGAGCAGGUGCGAAAGCAGGUCAUAGUGAUCCGGUGGUUCUGAAUGGAAGGGCCAUCGCUCAACGGAUAAAAGGUACUCCGGGGAUAACAGGCUGAUACCGCCCAAGAGUUCAUAUCGACGGCGGUGUUUGGCACCUCGAUGUCGGCUCAUCACAUCCUGGGGCUGAAGUAGGUCCCAAGGGUAUGGCUGUUCGCCAUUUAAAGUGGUACGCGAGCUGGGUUUAGAACGUCGUGAGACAGUUCGGUCCCUAUCUGCCGUGGGCGCUGGAGAACUGAGGGGGGCUGCUCCUAGUACGAGAGGACCGGAGUGGACGCAUCACUGGUGUUCGGGUUGUCAUGCCAAUGGCACUGCCCGGUAGCUAAAUGCGGAAGAGAUAAGUGCUGAAAGCAUCUAAGCACGAAACUUGCCCCGAGAUGAGUUCUCCCUGAGACUUAGAGUCUCCUGAAGGAACGUUGAAGACGACGACGUUGAUAGGCCGGGUGUGUAAGCGCAGCGAUGCGUUGAGCUAACCGGUACUAAUGAACCGUGAGGCUUAACCUU
rnacentral:rRNA from 1 species